CCAGACUCCUACGGGAGGCAGCAGUGGGGAAUAUUGGGCAAUGGGCGCAAGCCUGACCCAGCAACGCCGCGUGAAGGAAGAAGGCUUUCGGGUUGUAAACUUCUUUUGUCAGGGAAGAGUAGAAGACGGUACCUGACGAAUAAGCCACGGCUAACUACGUGCCAGCAGCCGCGGUAAUACGUAGGGGGCAAGCGUUAUCCGGAUUUACUGGGUGUAAAGGGGGCGCAGACGGCAGCGCAAGCCAGGAGUGAAAGCCCGGGGCCCAACCCCGGGACUGCUCUUGGAACUGCGCGGCUGGAGUGCAGGAGGGGCAGGCGGAAUUCCUGGUGUAGCGGUGAAAUGCGUAGAUAUCACGCAGAACUCCGAUUGCGAAGGCAGCGCACCGGCGCCCUACUGACGCUCAGGCACGAAAGCGUGGGUAUCGAACAGGAUUAGAUACCCUCGUAC
rnacentral:rRNA from 1 species